UUAUCCUUGUAGUUGCAUGUCACUAUGCGGUAUCCAUUGGGAAAUAAAUAACAUGACUAAUUUACUAAAACUAUCAAAAUUUAAUUUGUAUAGUGUAAAAUAUAUUGAUAAGAUCAUAAAAACAACCAAAUUGGACCAUUAUCAAACAGCAACAACCCACCGCCGAGAGCAAACACAAAAAUAUAUGAACAAGAUAUAGCUAAUAUGGGAUAUUGACCUCAUGCCUCCCCCAUAGUACAGCCAUGAAAUGGAUAUGCACGUCCAUGUAUUCCUAAUACUACAUUUCUACUAUACCUAGAGUCAUCAUUCAAAACACAACAACACAAAUUAAGAGCAGUUGUACUUCUGUUGGAUAUUUUGUUGAACAUUCCGCAUGGAAGUCGAAGUAGAAGAUUGAAGGUGACUGAGCCUGCAGGUUGAAGAAAACAUCUAAACCUAAACCUAAACCUGAACAUAAGAAACAAAAUAAGGACAAUUUAUAAGAAACAAAAAAGUGAUGAAGCACACACCUACAAUCCCGCACAGAAGGUAAGACGCAAUUACACCAUGAUUUACUCACAAAAUGGAACUAAGAAAGCACACCAAUCAGGUAAAUGAGGCAUCAUCCCCCGUUCAAGUCUCUGAUGUCAUUUAGGCCCAACAAUAAUAAUGUAGACCUUCACAUCAAAGCAUCAUGCACUCAAAAAUAUUAAGUAGAUCAAUCUAUUGUAUUAUUAGCAUACAAAAUCACUCAACUAAAUGAAAGUGUGAGAAACAUCCUACAGGAUUGGACCUAAAAGAACUAAUACACCAACAAACAUAAGCAUUCGAUAAUUACCUAUUCUUCUUAUUUAUUUGUAGGAUUUUCAUACUAUACCAGGGUUGGGGGCGGCGAAGAAGUAGAUAUUGAGGAGGCAUCAUCAAUCUGUAUUGUGAACAGUAGGUCGCUGCUCGAUCAUCUUAUGCAUAUACCAUUGUAGGAUACUACAAAAAGGAUAAAAUUUCAUUUAACGUAAGUGCAUAACAAUAGUAAGUCGUUCAAGGGAAAUCAUAUCAAGUAAAGGAAUUAAUGUUGCCCUUAUUCAUAAAGGAAUGCCUACUCAUUUUGAAAAUAGUAUGCAUACUCAUUGUCCAAGGGCGGACCAUGAGAAAUAGUCUAUCUAGGAAAUCAAACACUCACCGAAAAACAUUAAGAUUCUUGACUUCCUCCUUUGAUAAUAAGAUCAAUUUGUAGCAAGUCUUAAACCAAACAAGAUGUGAAGCAACAAGUGAUAUACCUGAUUGUCUUCCGCUUCAUGUUGUGUCUUUUCUUCUUUUCACUUCUCUCUCGGUAGCAACCACCGUGAUACCUAUUUGCUUGUGUUCCCCUCCAUGUUGUAAGUGCUCAACAAACAAUAUUGUCGUCUUCCUAAAUCUUCAUCCAUCUAUGCUUUUCACGGCAUUAUUGUGUUCUCCAUCCCCCCAUAACACAUCAAUGUCAUAUUCAACUCCGAUUAUCAUCUCUCGUGGUUCACUGUCGCCUUUCAUAAUAAACAAUAGUGCAAUAAAUAUCUCACAUAUUAUUAUGAAUAACAAAUGGGAAUUUACCCAUUCCUCCCGGUAGACCAGUCUCUCUGGUUAUCUAAAACCAGCCACAAAGGAAACCAGUUUGUAAUCCAAGAAAUGCCGAAACAACCUAAAAAGCAUAAGCACAGUAGUAUAAGUUAGAAGGUGGAACUAAGCAGAACAAAAUGCAUUGUAUAGACCAAAUACAGCUCUCAAUCACAUUCGAAAGAUAAACCCAGACGAGCAAUAUCGUUAUAGUUGGUUCCCCUAUACGAGGAAUCACAUCGCACCACUCAAGUUUAUUUCCUUGUCACACUUGUUACAUUAGGGUUGUCUUAAGUUUGAUUUAAUCGCCUCUCUUGUGGAUCAAGAAAAUUACACCUACAACUGCCAAAUAUAGACAGAUAUAUGAAACUGCUAUAACAUAACAUAGUGAUUCAUAAGAGAUGUGCACCUGGGCAAGGCAUUGUGAUAGAUUCAGCGCACGGGGUCUUCCGUCUAGCUAGAAGGCUGUGUUGCGCUUAGCCCACAACGUCUCCCUCUCCUCAAGUGGUGUGCUCUGCCUACGUGCUCUUCGGCAUGCAUUCAUCUCUUGCCUCAGCUCGGCUGACUUAUUUUUAUUGGCUCCCCUUCUGUUGGCAUUCGUCUCGUUCUUCUCCUUGGCUGUAAGAUUUUUCCUAACUUCCCUUUGGUUUGCAUUCCUCUCUGUCGGUGUUAAAACCGGCAGAUCUCGGGUAGGGGGUCCCUAACUGUGCGUCUAAGCGGAUGGUAACAGGAGACAGUGGACACGAUGUUUUUACCCAGGUUCGGGCCCUCUCGGUGGAGGUAAAACCCUACUCCUGCUUGAUUAAUAUUGAUGGUAUGGGUAUUACAAGAGUUGAUCUACCACGAGAUCAGAGAAGCUAAACCCUAGAAGCUAGCCUAUGGUAUGAUUGUUGUUCGUCCUACGGACUAAAACUCUCUGGUUUAUAUAGACACCGGACAGGGCUAGGGUUACACAGAGUCGGUUACAAUGGUAGGAGAUCUUCAGAUCGUAUCUCCAAGCUUGCCUUCCACGCCAAGGAAAGUCCCUAUCCGGACACGGGACGAAGUCUUCAAUCUUGUAUCUUCAUAGUCCGGGAGUCCGGCCAAAGGUCAUAGUCCGGUCAUCCGGACACCCCCUAAUCCAGGACUCCCUCAGUAGUCCCUGAACCAGGCUUCAAUGACGACGAGUCCGGCGCACCAAUUGUCUUCGGCAUUGCAAGGCGGGUUCCUCCUCCGAAUACUUCAUAGAAGAUGUUGAACACCAGGAUAGUGUCCGGCUCUGCAAAAUAAUUUCCACAUGCCACCAUAGAGAAAAUAACAUUUGCACCAAUCCAAUCUGCUGACGUAUUCCGUAGCGUGACCUCACGCCACGGCCUGGUUUUUAUUUACUUUACUGCUCCACCUCAGCACGUUUAGCGAGGCGGUUUCCUUGGCACGUCUUGUCGAAGCAGAGAUUGUGUCCCCUCAUUUCGGGAUUCUCAUCAGUACGGGCGUGGGUAACCCAACCGCGCCAUUAACCGCGGCGCUUGGGAGAUAAGCGAGUUUUAUUAGGCCGGUAGGGGCUCGUAAUUUCGGCCGCCCAUAUAAGGGGAUAAGGAUCUACCCUUUCCAUUCACGCAUUCUUCCUCCUUUGCUUAUUCGUCCUUGCGCACUCGAGCUCCAACGCCCAAGCCCGCACAUCUCGCCUCGACCUACUCCAACCAUGUCCGGAGCGGGAGGCAAGUGGAUGGCCUCCUCCGUCACGGAGGGGCACAUCAAAAGGGUGCGGAAAGCCGGAUACCUGCACAACGACAUUGCGCACCGGCUUCCAGACGAGGGGCGGCUCAUCCCCACCCCUGGCCCCCAUGAGAGGGUCGUAUUUCUUCCCCAUUUCCUCCGCGGACUGGGCUUUCCUCUUCACCCGUUCGUCCGGGGGCUCAUGUUAUAUUCCGGCCUGGACUUCCACGAUCUGGCCCCGAACUUCUUCCUCAACAUCUCGGCGUUUAUCAUCGUGUGUGAGGCCUUCCUCCGCAUCGAGCCCCACUUUGGCCUAUGGCUGAAGAUUUUCAGCGUCAAGCCGAAGGUCAUGGGCGGACGCCAAGCAGAGUGCGGAGGCGCCAUGGUGGGCAAGAUGCCCAAUGUCACAUGGCUCGAGGGCGCCUUCGUAGAGACCAUCAAAGGGUGGCAAUCGGGGUGGUUCUACAUCACCGAGCCGCGUGACCAUGAAUGGGCAGCGGCCCCCGAAUUCCAAUUUGGCAUUCCCACACGGCUCACGUCUUGGAAAGAGACGGGCCUGUUGUGGGGUAAUUCGGCAGAAGUGACCACACUUCAAACCUGCAUCAAAGACCUGAUUAGCAGGAAGGUUAAACUUGUCACCGUAGUCCAGGUCAUGCUCUUCCGCCGGAUUCUCCCGUGUCAACGACGGGCUUUCAACUUGUGUGAGUUCGACCCGGCCCAGCACCAGACUCUGUCCCGGCUCUUCGACACAAAGCACGAGGAUGCAUGGAAGGUGCUAUUCAAGAGCUCCGAGGUCCCGCCUCCCGUCACCGAGGAUCGCGGAUUCUGCGCCAAGCGCCAAGCCAGCGCGUGAGCUAAUUUUCCCAUUACGGGGUAUCUGUUUUCCAUAGAUUUGAUUUUAUGCGGGAUCUAAACCCCCAUCCCUUUGCCAGGACUGGCAGAAGAGGGCCGGACUGAUCAGCUGUCCGGCUCCUUUGCCCGAAGACCCAGCGGACGCUCGUUUAACGAAGCUGCUAGUUCUGGCACCUCACGUGGUGCCGGAGAAGAAGGCCAAGAAGAAGGCCACGGGGACUCGAAAGAGCUCCCGGCGCCUGGUGGUGUCGGAUUCAUCGCCCGACGACCCCGACGCACCCUCCGCCUCGGAAGACGAGGAGGAAGAAGAAGAAGAAGCCUCUCCCCCUCCAAUGGGGGGAGGAAAGAAAAGGAAGGCUGCCCCAAUUGGGGAGGCCGAGGGGGCCAAGAAGGGGAAGACCCUUCUGCCGGACUAUGCCUCCGAUGUUGAAGACGGCGGGGAGGAAUGGCCAUCCAGGGUCAAGCCCCUGGCAAAAUCGUAAGUGUCCGGCUAUCCGAAUGACUCAUGGCGCCCCUCUAUUAUUUGAUAGCUUCUGAUGCCGAAUUUUAAUUAUGCAGUCCACCCAGAGUUCAGCUCGGCGAUUCGUCGAGCGGCUCUCUGAAUUCGUCGGAUGUGAAUAGCGCUUCACUUCCGACGGCUUCCUCCCCGCUCCCUGCGGACGACGCCGAGGCGGAGUCCCAAAAGGGACCGAACCAGGAGGAGAUGGUCCUGGAGGCGCCCCAAGGCGACCUCCCGGACUCCAGGCCCAAAAGGAGCAAAGCCCCGAAGGGAUCUAUGUCCGGCCCCGGGCCGGACACUGCUCCGGAACCGCCAACGGUUCCAGAGUCCGACGGGCGGCACCUUCAUACGAAGGGAAAGCCUACGCCGCCGGCAACCUUCGUCCAUCCGGAGGCGCCGAACAAUUUGCUGGAGGCGCUUAACGGCGCCUCCAUCAACGAGGAACACCACACUGUUAUGAGUGCGGUGAUUCAAAAGGCUCAGUCCGCCAAGAGCGGGCUGACAGGAGCCUGCACAAGGCUGUUAACAGGCUUCGAGGUAUGUGUUCAAAACAUAUAAAAAUGUUACCGCAUAGACAGUAGCCCCUGAUGCUCGGUUCGGCGUUCGGAAAAGAAAAGCCGAGCUAAGGAUCUAAAAAGAUAUACGCAGGAGUCUAAUAAAAAUAUAUCGAUAUGGGAAUGCAGGCUGCGUUGCUGACCUCCGCCGCACUGACUGCGGAGGUCAAUGCAUUGAAGGGAAGCCUCGAGCGGUCCGAGAGCGAGCUCGGCCGUGCCAAGAAGCAGCUCGAGGACAAGGAGGAUAUGUAAUACCGUAUGUAAAUGUAUAUAAAAAUACUUGGUUGCAAAUAAUGACAGGACCAACCUAAAUGUUGCAGGGGCCACGGCCGAGGUGGCGGCCCUGAAGGAGGCGGUCUCCAAGGCCGAAAGCAGUGCGGCCCUGGAGCGUGCCGAGCGAGAGAAGCAGGAGGCGCGGGUGGCGGAGGUGCGGCAAGAGCUCCAGGCUCUCAUGGAAAAACACGAGAGUUUGAAGCGCGACUCGAAGACUCGAGAGUCCGAGCUCGCCUUGGCUCUUGAGAGUGCCAAAACCGCUAAGGCCGAAGCCCAGAAGGCCCUCCAGGAUAUCGAGGCGAUGAAGAAGAUAGCGGCGGGUAAGGCAUUCUUUAUGCAAAGCAAGAAUAUAAAAGUAAAUUAUCUGUUACUUACUCGGAUCCGGAGCUCUCCAAGAGCGUUCGCCGAUCUGCCACAUAGUGUGUCUGAUGCCGCCGCAUACUACCGAGCCGAAGAGGGGAGCUCGACGAAAAAAGUGUUCUGGUCUCAGUAUGCUGAGGCCGAACAUCCGGUGCCCCUGAGCGACCAGCUGAAGCAGCUGGUCGAGCUCCACAAGGUGGCCGAACAGGCCAUGAAGGGCCUCAUAGCUCGGCUGUGGCCUGGAGAAGCCAUGCCUGGGAGCUACUUCGGUCUGGUGCGGCGGCUGGUAGACGCGUGUCCGUGGAUUGAAGUUGUCAAGCGCUCCGUCUGUAUUGAAGGUGCCCGUCGGGCUCUUGCCCGUGCUAAAGUGCACUGGGGCAAGCUGGACGCUGAGAAGCUUUUGACGGACGCGCCACCGCCGGGUAAGGAGUAUCGCACGCCCGAGAUGUAUUAUAAGGGCGUCCUGAAGGGUGCUCGCCGUAUAGCAGACGAGUGCACUAAAGAUGUAAUUUUUGAGUAGUCUCGCAUCUAUUAUCAUGUACGCUGAAAACUUUGUUCAUAUGCGUUAAGCAACACUUAUUAAUUUAAAAUAUUACCUUCUGUGCGGCCGUUUAUCAAAUCUGAGAGAUGCAAGUCGUCGGCUUCGACCCCCAUGCCACGAGUGCUGGGGUGUUCGGGAUAAACCUGAGCGCUCUUGUUCCCAUUCUUGGGUCCAUCUAGGGAGGCGCUCAGCACAACGAACCAGGUCGUCGAACUUAUGAUGCUUUAUCACUCUCACUUAGCCAUAAAAUUCUAUAAUUUUAAAUUUCGGCGAAGCCCCUUGUAUUCGGAAGACCGAGUUCGGGGCGCUAUCCACGCCUAGGCCGGAUAAGUCCGGUUCCUCGCUCUAAGCGGCAUAAGUCUUUAAGGACUCGAAAAAAAACCUCGCGAACAGCGACCGGUCUCUCGCACUAUCAUGACGGUCAGUUUUAGCUUUCUCUACUGAGGUGUUAACCCAGCUCAACUGGGGCACAAUCGCAGUAGUUCUCCCAGCGCUACCUUAGCCAAUAUUGCGGAAUGUAAGGUACCAAAACAUGGGAGCCGGGCAAACCAAACUAUUGACCAAAGACAUGAUUCGGAGCCGAUGCAUAUAGUGCUAUAAGUUCGGGGUGCCGCACUCGUGAGAGUGUUCGGUCUUCUCACACCAUGUUAUGGGGUACUUAAGCCCCUGGUGUAUUGGCCGUACCAAAGUGUACGGUUGCAUAAUGUCAUGACUGAACAUAUUUGUAUAAAAAUAGAUGAAUACAAUAAUAGAUAAGAGCUAUGUAUUGUUUAUUAAAAAAGAGCUGCUAUGAAAGCAGAACGAUACAAAUAGUGCGAUAAGUAAGGGAUGGGAUUAUUUGACAUGUCCCCCUCCAGGGGCAAGCUGCGUAAAUUUAAGCAAAACGGGUAUUUAGCUCGUUAUAGAGACCACCUGGACAUAUGACACAGCUUGUUCGUUCCCUGGCUGUUGCAUCGUGUG
rnacentral:lncRNA from 1 species